rnacentral:lncRNA from 1 species
AGUUGGUUUGUGGUAUUAGCAUUCUAGUUUUAUGAAUGUUAUAUUUUUAUAAAAUACCUUGAUGUAUGAAGGUUAUUGUGUCCAAGUAUCAUGGUCAUAUCAUCUUUAGAUUAGCGGGAAUAAAAUCGUAGAGUUAGUAAAAAUCGUAGAGUAAACUCUAAAAAUCGUAGAGUCAGUGAAAAUCGUAGAGUAAACUCUGAAAAUCAUAGAGUCAAUGAAAAUCGUAGAGUAAACUCUGAAAAUC